rnacentral:misc_RNA from 1 species
AGCAUUUUAAACCUUUGUUAGAUCAGAUUUGGAAGCUAGAGGAGGCUCUUUACAACAUUCAAUUUGAACAGCAUUGGCUGGAGGCUCAGACUGAACGUCAGGCAAUAGUAAAUGAAGCAAUGGGCCGAAGGGCCAUUCACAAAGCCUUCUAUGAAUCUGCAGCGCUUAUUGUUGCUAGCAUUCUGCAAGUUUACCUUCUCCGCCGCCUGUUUGAACGAAAGCUUGGGAUGUCCAUAGUUUAAAUACUGCUGCAGAAUAGUUUGAAGUAUCAUGCAAAAGUUUUCUCAUCAGAAUUUUAUUUCUUUCCUAAUUGCUUAGGGGAAAAGGACAUGUAUAGAAUUAGGUACCAGUUUGACAACACAUUAUUGAAUUACAAAAAGAAUGUUUUGUUGAUUUGCCG